CAGCCGCGGUAAAACGAAGGGUGCAAGCGUUACUCGGAAUUACUGGGCGUAAAGCGUGCGUAGGUGGUGGUUUAAGUCUGUUGUGAAAGCCCUGGGCUCAACCUGGGAAUUGCAGUGGAUACUGGGUCACUAGAGUGUGGUAGAGGAUAGUGGAAUUUCCGGUGUAGCAGUGAAAUGCGUAGAGAUCGGAAGGAACAUCUGUGGCGAAGGCGACUAUCUGGGCCAACACUGACACUGAGGCACGAAAGCGUGGGGAGCAAACAGGAUUAGAGACCCGCGUAGUCCCCUGUCUCUUAUACAC
rnacentral:rRNA from 1 species